CGGCUGACCGGUCCAACCGUUCCAGUAUCUCAUCUUCUCGACUUGUACUGCCCCCAGCCGAUUGAGAGAGAAAGAGAUGACGAGAGGAAAGCAAAAGAUCGAAGCACAGAAACGAUGCGCAGAGAAGAAUCAGAAAUCAAAAGGGUCUCAGAUUGAAGCUCGGGCCGUCGCCCUUAAAAUCAGUUGUCCCAUUUGCAAGGUUCAGCUAGCAAAUGAAAAUCAACUUGGUGAUCAUUAUGCAUCCAAACAUCCAAAAGAAAAGGCUCCCAGCAGUUCAUAAAGAAGUUUUUUAAUAAAGAUGUUGUCUACCUUAGCCAUGUGAUUGUUAUCCCCUUGCAAAAAUAUAAUGUUUGAUUAAUGUUUCCAACAAUUGACCGAUUGUUUGUAAAUGGUCGCAACUCAAAUUUCAUUUCAUCUUGAUCGAUAGAUUGGUUAUGAUUCUUGAUUUCCAAAAGUGGCUAAUUAUUGUUU